CGACCCCGACCACCCUCUCCCUCCCCUCCUCCCGUCGCCGCCGCCCCCCUUCCCCCGCCGGCCCGCUCUCCCCCCUCCGACGCACCACGUCCCCCGCUGCCGGUUCGACUCGAUCCGGCCGGCCCCGACCCGCCAAGCCGCGCCGGAGAUCGAGGAGGGCUCGCCCGAGGCCCAGCGGCGACCGGGGUCCCCGGCAAUUCCGCCGCCAAGGAGGUGCGGAGGCGCAUCCCCGCGCCCGCCCGUGCUCCCUCCAUCCCUCCCUCCCGCUCCGCUCCAGGGAAGAAGAGGAAAGCGCGCAUCUUGGAAGGACGAUUUGUCCGUUCGUCGUCGUCCCCCAGCUGGUGCGGUGGGUUGCCCCGCUCCGCUCAGCUCACCUCAGCUCACGGGGCCGGAUUUGGUCUGGCGGUGCGGGUGCGGUUGGGGUGCGAAUUAAAAAAGGGCGAGGAGAGGGGGAGUGGUUAGUUCUUCCCUACCCUUGGCCGCUUGCAGCGGGGGCGCUAGCUGCUUCGUUGGCUCGCUCGUGCCAUUAAAGGCGUCCCCUUCCUCCCUCCGCCCCCCUCUCUCUCCCGGUGGUUGGGUCCUCGGAAGAUCUGCGUCGGUUCUUGCCAGGGGUUUGGGCAGAUUCGAGGAAGAAGACGGGGGCGGGCUCUGAUUCGCCGUGGUAUUUAUGUGCCAUGAGGAAGCUCUUCUUCUCCGAGUUGACCUCCUGCAAGGAGACCAAGCUCCAGUCCGCCACCCACUCAUGGCUGCCCAUGGACAAAGGCAAGCUCUCCAAGUUCACUGGCCACUCCAGCUCCUCCUCCUCGAUAGAAUCUCUGAUGAAAAUGCCGGAGCCGCCGGUCCUCCCGCACUUCAAGCCCGCUGACUACGUCGACAUAUUGGCUCAGAUUCACGAGGAGCUGGAAUACUGCCCUCCCGACGAGAAGUCGUGCCUGUACCUGCUCCAGUUCCAGGUCUUCCGCGGGCUUGGUGAGGCCAAGCUGUCGCGAAGGAGCCUCCAGGCUGCGUGGGAGAAGGCGAGCACGAUACACGAGAAGCUCAUAUUUGGGGCAUGGCUCAAGUACGAGAAGAGAGGGGAGGAGCCCAUAUCUGACCUUCUUGGCUCGUGCGGCAAGUGCUCUCAAGAGUUCAAGCUGCUGGAUUUCGUCUCGCAGAUCUCCGCCGAUUCGCUCGGGAUAAGCUAUGACGACGAAUCUGAUGAGUUCCAGGGCUCCCCGGUGGUUCAUUUCCGGAUAAGAGAUGACAUGAUUGCCUGCGAUAGGCGGAAGCUUGCGGCCUUGUCAACUCCACUGUAUGCGAUGCUUAAUGGUGGGUUUAAGGAAUCACAUCUUGAGGUCAUUGACAUGUCUCGGAACGGCAUCUCGCCUAUUGGUAUGCGGGCCAUCAGUAAAUUCAGCCUGUCAGGAAGACUACCGUAUUUGUCAGCAGAAUCUAUUUUGGAGAUGCUUGAUUUUGCUAACAAAUUCUGCUGUAAGGGCCUCAAGGAUGCUUGCGAGCAAAAGCUUGCUUCUUUUGUUUCUUCCAGGCAAGAUGCCAUAGAUUACAUGGAGUGUGCUAUUGAGCUGGGCUGUUCCAUACUUGCCGCGUCAUGCUUGCAGGUGCUCCUGAAUGAGCUUCCAGAAUGCUUGAAUGAUGAGCAAGUGGUUAGGAUAUUCUCCUCUGCGAAUAAGCAGCAGAGAUCCACUAUGGCUGGCAAUGCAUCCUUCUCCCUAUAUUGCCUUCUUGGUGAAGUCUCCAUGAGCAUCAGUGCAACAUCAGAUGUCACUGUAAGCUUCUUGGAGAAGCUGGUUGACUCGGCAUCAGAUUCUAGACAGAAGCAGUUGUCCUUGCAUCAGCUGGCUUGCGUGAGGCUGCUAAGGAAAGAUCAUGCUGAAGCGGAGCGCCUGUUCAAUGCUGCCUUUACCGCUGGUCAUGUCUACUCGGUAGUGGGCUUGGCUAGAUUGGCCUCUCUGAGGAGCAAUAAGCAUUAUUCUCUCAACUUGCUUGACUCUGUCAUGUCAUCUCGUUGGCCUCUUGGGUGGAUGUAUCAAGAGAGAGCCCUAUAUCUGGACGGUGAUAGCAAGUUGGAGAAUCUCAAUAAGGCUACUGAACUGGAUCCGACGCUUACAUACCCCUAUAUGUUUCGAGCUGCAUCGUUGAUGAAAAGGCAAAGUGUUGAAGCUGCCCUGAUGGAGAUUAACCGGAUCCUGGGGUUCAAGCUGGUCCUGGAAUGCUUAGAGCUAAGGUUCUGUUGCUACCUUGCUCUAGAGGACUACAGAGCUGCCUUAUGCGAUGUACAGGCAAUCCUCACGCUUGCUCCAGAUUAUCGUAUGAUUGGUGGUCGGGUGGCUGCGAAGCAGCUACGUACACUUGUGAUGGAGAAUGUAGAGCAAUGGACGACUGCUGAUUGCUGGAUGCAGCUUUAUGAUCGGUGGUCCUCUGUGGAUGAUAUUGGAUCCCUCUCGGUCAUAUAUCAAAUGCUGGAGUCAGAUGCUGCUAAGGGAGUACUGUACUUCAGACAGUCUUUGCUACUUCUCAGAUUAAAUUGUCCUGAGGCAGCAAUGCGCAGCUUGCAGCUUGCUCGCGAGCAUGCGGCAAGCCAACAUGAACGGCUUGUUUACGAAGGAUGGAUACUGUAUGAUACUGGCCACUGCGAGGAAGGAUUGCAGAAAGCGGAAGCAUCGAUUGCCAUACAGAGAUCAUUUGAGGCAUUCUUUCUAAAAGCUUAUGCUUUAGCUGAUUCGAGUCUUGAGCCGUCAACCUCGGCAACAGUCGUAUCGCUUCUUGAAGAUGCAUUACGGUGUCCCUCAGAUAGACUUAGGAAGGGCCAGGCUUUGAAUAACCUUGGGAGUGUUUAUGUGGAUUGCGGUAAUCUAGACUUGGCAGCUGAAUGCUACAUCAACGCCUUAAAGAUUGGCCACACCAGAGCUCAUCAAGGCCUCGCCAGGGUUCAUUUCCUUAGGAAUAACAGGACCGGUGCGUUCGAGGAAAUGACCAAGCUGAUAGAGAAGGCCAGGAGCAAUGCAUCAGCAUACGAGAAGAGGUCUGAGUAUUGUGACCGGGAUCUAACUAAAGCUGAUCUGCAGAUGGUCACCAAACUUGACCCCCUCCGGGUCUACCCCUACAGAUACCGUGCUGCUGUUCUGAUGGACAACCACAAGGAGAAAGAUGCCAUCUCAGAGCUGACUAAGGCAAUUGCCUUUAAGGCGGACCUGAACCUGCUCCAUCUGCGUGCGGCCUUCCAUGAGCACGUGGGUGACAUCUCAGGCGCCCUCCGGGACUGCCGCGCAGCACUUUCCGUGGACCCCAACCACCAGGAGAUGCUCGAGCUUCAUCACCGGGUGAACAGCCAAGAACCCUGAGCCCGUUGUUGUACAUACAGGAGGGGCUCCCAUAGCGAAAACCCAUACCAGUUUGCAUAUGGUUGAAGACUGGAAUGAUCUGCAUGAGUCGGUUACCACUGCAUGUUAUUCCCAGAUGGACAGGUUGCAAUGGUGGCCUGGUGGGAUCUCACAAGGGAAGCUGCCAUUUAUUUGAUACAACUGUUUGCUCAAGGAAGUUCCCGGCAAGUCCUGACUACUUCUGCAGAUUAAAGAAUCCGUGUUGUUAAUGGCUAUGGGCUUGUUCAUAAAUUUUUAAAGGGGUUCAGCAAUACCAGAAGCUAAAUGGGGCUGCUCACAGAUACACCGAGAGCCCAGUUUGCAAAGCUGGUUGAAAGCACAAACACCAGCAAUCAUCCAGUUGAAGCAGUGUCCCCGUCCUUGCCCGACGAACAACCACCAAGGAGGAGUCCUGGUCAUGGCUGUCCAGCGCCUGUCCAUGUGGGGUUUGGUAAUUGUCACGGGCGUGUGGGGUUUGGUUAUUGUCGCGGAGAAGCCAGAGUGUUCCAGGUUUUUGGUUUCCCUGUUCCGAGUGCGAAGCUAGCGUAAGAGCGCGGAGCUGUUGGUUUCUUUUCCUGUAUAGAUAUCUUUAGGUUUUCACCCAAAGUCUCAACUGGUUGAAAGUGUUGUCUGUUUGAUGCCUGCUUUCUUUGGGUGGUGCCUGCCGUAAGAAAGAGAUUAAUUCAGAAAAACCAUACCAUUCUUUCCACUGCUGAUAUAGCCUCUGUAAUCGUAUGGUUAACAGCCAGCCAGUACAUUUAUUUGUUGGUAACAUAUUGGUUAUUUCCUGA